rnacentral:rRNA from 1 species
UACGAAGGGAGCUAGCGUUGUUCGGAAUUACUGGGCGUAAAGGGCGCGUAGGCGGACAUCUAAGUCAGGGGUGAAAUCCCAGGGCUCAACCCUGGAAUUGCCUUUGAUACUGGACGUCUCGAGUUCGGGAGAGGUGAGUGGAAUUCCGAGUGUAGAGGUGAAACUCGUAGAUAUUCGGAGGAACACCAGAAGCGAAGGCGGCUCACUGGCCCGAUACUGACGCUGAGGCGCGAAAGCAUGGGUAGCGAACAGG